UUCUAUUCUUCUUUUCGUUUUUCUCUCUGGCGAUUCUGAGAGUCAUUUCUGAAGCCGUGAAAUCAAAAAGAAACUUAGGGAAAUCAAUUAUCUAGUUUGAUAGAUGAAGAAGGGGUGAUUGUUCUGGGAAACUUUUAAGAAGAGGAUGGUUUCGAUAAUGAAUCGAAAACAGUGGAUCUUGGAUCUCGAGGUAGUCAUGGCUUGUCAUCAAAACAGUUUCAGAUUUCAGAAGUGAUGGCGUGCUUGGAGAUAUUCAUUUCGUAGUUCGAAGUUUUAGCGGAUUAAGAACGUUUAUGUAUCUUUAUAUUUAUGUAUUAUUGUUUAUCUGUAAACAUCACAUUAAAAUAUUCAUAUCAUUUGAGAGUUUCCAUAAUGAAGUAAUCAGAGUG